GGUCUUCUCUAUUGCCUGUCACCCUCGCUCCCCAUGCCGUCGACGGACGGUGGCGCUCUGGCCCAACCCCACAACCAUCGUCUUCUGCCAGCUUGGAUGCGAGUGGAGGCAAAAGGAAGAUGCACGUCGCGCUAGCUUGGAUGCGAGCCCGUGGCUCUAGCUCCCCCUAACGAGCCGCGCACCCCAUCCCUAGGCCCAGAUCCCGUCCUCCCUACGCAGGCUUGUGCGUCGCCGGCAAUGGAGGUCGCAUACUCCUCCUCGCUCACCUCUCCGUACCGAAUGUCGACAUCAAAUCUGGUUUUUCCUAGUGGCGGUGGCCUCAAUACUGGUGCCUACAGACCUGGCGUCCGAGUCCGUCACUCCGGCUCUUCCCGCACCCCCUGCCCGGCGGCCCCUUGCUCCGUUCUGCUCGCCUGUCCAAUAUGCGCCACUCUGGAGUCUGGACUGGCCAAACUGGAAGGCAGCGACUUGUCGGCAGAGUAGAGGCAAGGCAAGAGGAGGCCAUCUUCACAUCCACUCCUUCAACUGCUACCUGUGGUAGAACAAAAAGAUUGCAUUCUCCUGUGACCUCUUGCAUCUUGGACCUUCAAUAAUCUGUUGAGCUGUUCGUGCAAUGUUUCAUUUGACUGAUAAUACUGAGAUAAACAUGUGAUGCACACUGAUUGCCAUAUAUAAGCUACUGCAGUAUAAUACUAAUAUAACUCACUAGGUAAUUGAUUUGAUGCUAAUUAGUUAUAAGUGACUUUGUUUAAUUCUGCAAAUGUUCUUUUUAGACUGCAGCAUUUCUUUCCUGUACGGCCAUUUGUUGCUUGGUUAAAAUAAUGAAAGACAGAUUAUCAAAAUGGUUGGUGGAAACUUGCAACCUUAGUGGCUGCUCACGAGUUUGUUACGGGUCUGUCAAGCAGGUGUGCUCAAGCACGCAGCAAUCCCAGGUCUUUCAAUCGUUGAAAGAUGCUGUUCUUCUCACAAAAUAAAAUACAAUUGAAUCGCGAAAGAAAAGGUGAUA